UACGUAGGGUGCGAGCGUUUGUCCGGAAUUAUUGGGCGUAAAGAGCUCGUAGGCGGUGUGUCACGUCGGCCGUGAAAACCUGCAGCUUAACUGUGGGCGUGCGGUCGAUACGGGCAUCACUGGAGUUCGGCAGGGGAGACUGGAAUUCCUGGUGUAGCGGUGAAAUGCGCAGAUAUCAGGAGGAACACCGGUGGCGAAGGCGGGUCUCUGGGCCGAUACUGACGCUGAGGAGCGAAAGCAUGGGGAGCGAACAGG
rnacentral:rRNA from 1 species